CUUGCGGUCAUAUCACAUUAAAACACUGGUUUUCGUCCGAUCACCGAAGUUAAGCAACAUUGAGCUUGGUCAGUACCUAAAUGUGUGACCGCCUGAGAAUAUCAGAUGCUA